rnacentral:rRNA from 1 species
UACGUAGGGUGCAGGCGUUAAUCGGAAUUACUGGGCGUAAAGCGUGCGCAGGCGGCUCCUUAAGUCAGAUGUGAAAUCCCCGGGCUUAACCUGGGAACUGCGUUUGAAACUGAGGGGCUAGAGUGUGGAAGAGGGGGGUGGAAUUUCCGGUGUAGCGGUGAAAUGCGUAGAUAUCGGAAGGAACAUCAGUGGCGAAAGCGACUUCCUGGACCAAUACUGACGCUCAUGUGCGAAAGCGUGGGGAGCAAACAGG